AUUGAACGCUGGCGGCAUGCCUUACACAUGCAAGUCGAACGGUAACGCGGGGCAACCUGGCGACGAGUGGCGAACGGGUGAGUAAUAUAUCGGAACGUACCCAAGAGUGGGGGAUAACGCAGCGAAAGUUGCGCUAAUACCGCAUACGAUCUACGGAUGAAAGUGGGGGAUUCGCAAGAACCUCAUGCUCCUGGAGCGGCCGAUAUCUGAUUAGCUAGUUGGUAGGGUAAAGCCUACCAAGGCAUCGAUCAGUAGCUGGUCUGAGAGGACGACCAGCCACACUGGAACUGAGACACGGUCCAGACUCCUACGGGAGGCAGCAGUGGGGAAUUUUGGACAAUGGGGGCAACCCUGAUCCAGCAAUGCCGCGUGAGUGAAGAAGGCC
rnacentral:rRNA from 1 species